rnacentral:rRNA from 1 species
CCUACGGGAGGCUGCAGUGAGGAAUAUUGGUCAAUGGGCGAAAGCCUGACGCAGCGACGCCGCGUGAGGGAUGAAGGUCUUCGGAUCGUAAACCUCUGUCAGCAGGGAAGAACGGUCACUGUGCUAAUCAGCAGUGAAUUGACGGGACCUGCAAAGGAAGCACCGGAUAACUCCGUGCCAGCAGCCGCGGUAAGACGGAGGGUGCGAGCGUUAAUCGGAAGUACUGGGCGUAAAGCGCUCGUAGGCGGUAUGUCAAGUCAAGGGUGAAAUCCCCGCGCUCAACGUGGGAACCGCCGUUGAAACUGGCAAACUGGAGUGUGUGAGAGGAUCGUGGAAUUCCAGGUGUAGGAGUGAAAUCCGUAGAUAUCUGGAGGAACUUCAGUGGCGAAGGCGACUAUCUGGCACAUAACUGACGCUGAGGAGCGAAAGCGUGGGUAGCAAACAGGAUUAGAUACCCGGGUAGUC